rnacentral:rRNA from 1 species
AAAUUGAAGAGUUUGAUCAUGGCUCAGAUUGAACGCUGGCGGCAGGCCUAACACAUGCAAGUCGAACGGUAACAGGAAGCAGCUUGCUGCUUCGCUGACGAGUGGCGGACGGGUGAGUAAUGUCUGGGAAACUGCCCGAUGGAGGGGGAUAACUACUGGAAACGGUAGCUAAUACCGCAUAAUGUCGCAAGACCAAAGUGGGGGACCUUCGGGCCUCACACCAUCGGAUGUGCCCAGAUGGGAUUAGCUUGUUGGUGGGGUAACGGCUCACCAAGGCGACGAUCCCUAGCUGGUCUGAGAGGAUGACCAGCCACACUGGAACUGAGACACGGUCCAGACUCCUACGGGAGGCAGCAGUGGGGAAUAUUGCACAAUGGGCGCAAGCCUGAUGCAGCCAUGCCGCGUGUAUGAAGAAGGCCUUCGGGUUGUAAAGUACUUUCAGCGGGGAGGAAGGCGUUGUGGUUAAUAACCGCAGCGAUUGACGUUACCCGCAGAAGAAGCACCGGCUAACUCCGUGCCAGCAGCCGCGGUAAUACGGAGGGUGCAAGCGUUAAUCGGAAUUACUGGGCGUAAAGCGCACGCAGGCGGUUUGUUAAGUCAGAUGUGAAAUCCCCGGGCUCAACCUGGGAACUGCAUUUGAAACUGGCAAGCUUGAGUCUCGUAGAGGGGGGUAGAAUUCCAGGUGUAGCGGUGAAAUGCGUAGAGAUCUGGAGGAAUACCGGUGGCGAAGGCGGCCCCCUGGACGAAGACUGACGCUCAGGUGCGAAAGCGUGGGGAGCAAACAGGAUUAGAUACCCUGGUAGUCCACGCCGUAAACGAUGUCUAUUUGGAGGUUGUGCCCUUGAGGCGUGGCUUCCGGAGCUAACGCGUUAAAUAGACCGCCUGGGGAGUACGGCCGCAAGGUUAAAACUCAAAUGAAUUGACGGGGGCCCGCACAAGCGGUGGAGCAUGUGGUUUAAUUCGAUGCAACGCGAAGAACCUUACCUGGUCUUGACAUCCACGGAAUUUGGCAGAGAUGCCUUAGUGCCUUCGGGAACCGUGAGACAGGUGCUGCAUGGCUGUCGUCAGCUCGUGUUGUGAAAUGUUGGGUUAAGUCCCGCAACGAGCGCAACCCUUAUCCUUUGUUGCCAGCGAUUAGG